rnacentral:lncRNA from 1 species
GGGCAUGUGGAGUUUAGGGUUUCGAGGGACCUCAUCGGCAUGUCUUGCGUAUCGCACUUGCGACAAGGCUUUUCCAAUGACAUGUCCUGCAUAUCGCGUUUAUCAUCGGAGGCACAGGGUUCAAGUGCAAACAAAUCCUAGGGUUCAAGCGAACUAGCUUUCUUAUCAGCGUGGUUACCUAGCUAAUUAAACGUCAACAAGCUUAUUAGCAGAGACUAUUUAAAAAAGAUGGUGUGUCUACCUGUUUUAAUAGAAAACGGUCAAGUCCCCUGGCCAUGACUAGAGUGCCACGUUGCCCAAUUGCCUUUGCUGUCCACUGUUGCAGCAUCUGCUGGCGCUAACUCUCUAGCUAGACAGAAAGCAGGGGAUGAACAUAACGAGGAGGAGGUGGCAUGUGGUUAGGGACGACCGGAUUAGGAGAAAGCCACACCAAAAGAAGUCAUAUUUUACACAAAAUUUUAAAUAAAACAAGUGGUCAAAGUUGGUGUAAAAAAAGUCAAAUGUCUUACGAUUUGGUAUGAAUUGGGUACUAUACAUAAAAUUUGCAAGAAGAUAGUCGCAUGUCGACAUUUGUAACCCUAUACCACAACUCGUAAUGUCCUAAUACAAAUUGCUUUUUUUUAUCUUUGCUAAUGCUAGCUAAGACAGGGGCAAUACCCUAGAACUCUAAAAAUACAAAUUAUUUGAACUGGAGCAUGCAAACCUCUCACUACUCUUGAUCAUUUUUGAACGAACCGACACUCUUUCUCUAUUGACAUAGAAGAAAAAGAUGCAAGUAAUUAGCUCUGGAAGACUAUCAAACGAAAAGGGGGCAAAAUACAACUACAAGGAGCCACAACUAAACUCUACUGCCAAGUAGACAUAUAAUAACCAACAGGCACCCUGCACUGCACAGAAAAUAAGGCAAACUCCAAGAAUCUAUACCAUGCCUCUACACCAAAUAUGGCUCACACUCUUGAUUUUAACAGGCACAUAUAUAUAGGAAACAAAGGAAGGAAAAGCGCAUGCAAGAUCAUCACAAUACAUAACUUGACGCUAGCUCUAUACGUUGAUCCUUGUUGGGCAGAACACGAUCAAAAGAAACUCAAGCAUCAGGUGGUGGCACACAUUAUGCCGGCGCAGCAGUGACCACCACAUCGGGAGGAGGCCGAGAUGUCACGCGAGGAAGACCACCGUUGGUCGUCUCCGGGGUUGGCGGCUUCUGGGCGUCCUCUUCUCCUGCGGGAGCGGCUGUGGCAGGACUAGGUGACGACGCUGCCGCCCCGGCCGUCGACACCACCUCCUUGGUGUCGGUGCCGGCGGGGAGCUGAUUCUUCUUGUCACCUGCAUCUGCAGGAGCUUCUUUGCCACGCCUGAAAACGCCGAAGCAGCUCCCCAUCCGUACGUAAUCCUGAUCCCUGCUGGUUAUUAGUACUAGUAGUAGCUAUGUUUUGGCUCCGAUCGAGCCCCAGCUAGGUCGUUGUUAUUAGAGUACUUUGCUCCAUCAAGGCGCGCGCGUUAUUGUAUAUAUAAGCCCGGCCGCACUUCAUUCUGUGGUGCUUCUCUGCGGACUGCAUGCGACACGUUUCAGCAGCCGAGUCCGAUCAUAUCCAUCCAGAGUCACUCAAUUCCUAUACUACUGUAGUGGCUCUGGGUCCGCCCUUGUAAUAAUAUAAUUAAGAUUAUCAGCUCAAAUGAGAGGGUGGGCAUCUCCAGUAAAUGGGUGAAUCAGCUAGCUCAAGCAUCUCCACAUUAAAUUUAUUGUUAGCUGGAAGAGAUAGAAAGUGAUGACUAAUGAGUAAUGAGAGAGUGUGCAUAUUACCUUUUCUUCAGAGGUUUGGAUGUAGCACCCAGUUUUGCAAAGCAAACCAAGCACUUGUCAUGUGUGUUCAGGGAUGUCCAUACAACACAUGUAUAGUGACAGAAAUGAAAAAUAUAAGAAACCAUACUUUGUUAUAUAAUGUAAACAUAUUUUAGUUACACUAAGAUUUACACAGCAUAGCAAAAAUGACUCUUCAACUUCUCUUGGACCUCGAUUCUCCACAGGGACAGUUGAAUAAGGGAAACAUGUGUCACGUACUCUUGGUGCUUCUUAGAAAACUCAUAGUAUCUGGUACCCAUCUAGGAUUUUGUUGAAUUUAAGCAAGAGUGAGCUCACCAUGCUCGACAAGUGUAACAUAAGUUUAUGCAAGACUCAAAACAAUAGACAUGGUUAUAUUGUGGUAAGCACUUUUAGGAAGGAUAGACACGGUUAUAUUGUAGUAAACACUUUUAAUUGGUCAAGUUUUAUCCAUUACCACCUGGGUAACGAAGUGAUGCUUAAGCCACACAGUAUGAGUAAUUAGAGAUUGCAACAAAUUCAUAUCAUAACCUAAAACCAUCCAUGGUAACCAUCUAACCUGAAAAGGUCCAUGCCCCUCAUGACCGAGAGCACGAUUGAUACAUGAAUUUAAAAUAAAAAUAUGUAUACUCAUGACUCAUGAUUCCCAUAUGCUAGGGUUUAUUACUUUCAUUCUUACUUACCAAGAAUGUGUGGCAGGAUUUCCCUAUGAGCUUUUCUAGAGUCCCCCUAACAAGUUAGUAGUCACAAGGUUUUGGAUUUACCCAGCAGUUAUAGGAAACUCCUAUCACUAUGGAACACACCAUCUCAGAAGUGCACAAAACAAUAGAGGAUGUCCUAUACCCAUCAAGGCACCCUUCCCCUUCUUGUACCUUCGGGUAACCACUAACAAGCUAGAGAAGUUCAAAGUACUAAGACAAGACCAUAGCCAUGUAGUCCUCAUGGUUGUAGUGGUUUAAGGAGUUCGGGGGAGCCUUAAGUCCAUAAUGCCACCUAAAUGGUACAUUUCAAUCAGCAAGAGCGAGCAAGGUAAAGCAUUCAAUUUGGAAAAAUGAAUCAUUCUUUUCCUUCAAUUAGUAUCUUUCUCUUGCAUUGCAUCCAAGCAAGUAGAUAGGUUUUAAUCUUGGUAUUUGUUAUUUACUUGCUUUGGUUGUGUUGUCAUCAAUCACCAAAAAUGGGGAUUCUAUGGAAAAUGACACCUAUGCUCGGGCCAUAGUUGAUUUUUUUGGUUAAUUGGCACCAUUAUCAAAUGGACAAAUAUGGUUUGCUACUAUAUAAGAGCUAGUUCAUUUGGAUGGAAGGAUGGAUUGGACUUAGGUAACGUGAAGAUCAAGCGAUCAACACCUCAAGGAAGAUCAUAGAAGUCUUGCUAUAAGUCCAAGACAUCUAGUAAAGAAGCUCAGACGAGAAAACAUGAAGAAACAAAGGUAUUUGAGCACUGCUAGUAUGCACCAAAAUUAUCCAGUGUAUGCCUAUGAAGUGCACUGGAGAGAGCAGCAUCAAGCCAGGUUUGCCGGCCAAGGAGCACUCGAGGAAGAGGUGCAGUGAAGAUGUAUCUGUCGAGAGGAUUCCCACUAACCGGAAAACUUGAGAAGUACUAGGAAGCGAGCACUAGAGGAAGAAGGGCUCACUCGAGGCUAUGCAGAAAGGUUCUAGGUGUCACUAGAAUUGUCCAAUGAUCACCGAAGAAAGGAGCCCCAUGGUCGAAUUUAAACAAUGUUGUUGAUGUCACCGAAAAACUUAGAUCGAGUCACCGGAAGUUUUGGUGCCUCUGCAGAAAGCUGGAGACUUGUCCAAUGGCUAGAUUCUUCUGGAGAGGCUAGGGAGGGUAGUUGCAGCCUCCCCAGAAGAACCUAAACUGGCCAUUUUGGAGGAGUAGGAGCUGAGGAAUAUAACAAGGAAGUUGAGGCUCAUCUUUGGUGCUCUUGGCACCAUAUGGGCUUAAGGAAAUAUUAGGUGAUUAGCGUUAGUAUUUUGCGAUGUGUUUAGACUAGUUAGACACCAUAUUAGAACUUUGCUCUAGCGAGGACUAGCUAGGGGGAAACCAUGAGCUUCUCAAUACCUAAGUCGUGAGUGGGGUGGUCUUACUUCAUGCAUAUGGGAGUGCUAAUUAGAAAUUUGCUACUCUAUAUAAUUUGAUGUGUCAUGUGAUGAAUAUAAGGCCCUGCAUUGUUAUUUUUCCUUUUUUACACUAC